AGCUCUGCACAGUGGCAGUAUCGUAGCCAGUGAGGUUUAUCUGAGGCAUGAUUAUUGCUAAUCAAAAUAGAUGUACCAACGAUGGACAUUCUCACCCACACUGUAUAAUAGUUGCAGUUUCUACACAUCUUUACUAACA
ensembl:snRNA U4 U4 spliceosomal RNA